rnacentral:rRNA from 1 species
CUGACAAAGAUGUUAAAUAGCCGCGGUAUUUUGACCGUGCAAAGGUAGCAUAAUCAUUAGUUUUUUAAUUGGAAACUUGUAUGAAUGGUUGGACAAAGAAAAAGCUGUCUCUUUUAUUAAAAUUGAAAUUAACUUCUAAGUGAAAAGGCUUAGAUUUUCUAGAGGGACGAUAAGACCCUAUAAAGCUUUAUAAAUUAAGUAAGUUAGAACAAAUUUUAUAGAAUAAAGGUAAAUUUAAUAUAUUUAUUUGGUUGGGGCGACAAUGGUAUAAAUUAAAUAACUGCUAUUAAAAUUAAACAAUUAUAUUUGAUUAAAAUUAUAAUUGAUCCUUAUUAUGGAUUAAAAGAUCAAGUUACUUUAGGGAUAACAGCGUAAUUUCUUUUUAGAGUUCUUAUCAAAGAAGAAGUUUGCGACCUCGAUGUUGAAUUAAAAUGUCUUUAUAGUGCAGAAGCUAUAAAAGAAGGUCUGUUCGACCUUUAAUUUUUUACAUGAUUUGAGU